UGGUGGAGUGAUUUGUCAGGUUAAUUCCCUUAACGAACGAGACCUUAACCUGCUAAAUAGAGACAUCUAUAUUUUAGGUGUACUCUUCUUAGAGGGACUACCGAAGUAAUUCGGUGGAAGUUUGAGGCAAUAACA
rnacentral:rRNA from 1 species